rnacentral:misc_RNA from 1 species
GUUUGCCACCAAAUGUUGAAAAAAAACACGUAGUAAGGAUUAAUUUACAUACACAUAUUUUACUAUUGAGCUAGGCAUAGGCGGUGACCAAAUAAUAUGAUUGCUCAAUGUCAAUACAUUUGCAAGAUCAGGCAUUCAUCAAUAUCUUAUUUGUGGUCUAAAUUUAUCACUCGCAUUACACCCUUGAUACAAUCCUGGGUUAUGGAUUGCAUAAAGGGACCAUUGCUGAUCCGGAAAUGGCUUAAUCUACUCCCAUAAUCCGGAGAUUGAUAAGAGUAAAUUAUUGGUAAAUUCCUAUAAUUACAAAACUCAUUAUUCUGCAUAAUAUCCUCCCCAAUGACGCUUGUUACGAGCCGACCUGUUUUCCCUAUUAUUCAAUUGAACAACCAACCUCCUUUCACUUGGUAAAGCUCUCUUCAAUCCAGUCAACUGAUCUCCCUUACUAGGUUGAUAUCAUCAUUCCUUUUCUUGAAAACAAGCUUGUCCUCAAGCGAUAAGUCAUAAAGGUAUGUGAUUUUUUUUGAAAGCUUCAUCAAGUGACAUCCCUAAUUGGCUCUUCUAACUCGUUGUACGAAUCGGAAUUUCUCCACUAUUUCAAUUGCAAACAACUGUUCACAUUUGUGCCCCCUUUAUAUCAUGGUUUCAAAUAAUGGCUGUCACGUUACAUGUUUUUGAAGGCCCCGUUACCCUAUCAUAUAUAGGCAAAUUCUGAGUUGUAGGUCUAAUGGCCAUUACCACCGUUAAGUAACGGUAACGGCUAUUAUUUACCGUUA